GUUUUCGUGGCCUAGUGGUUAUGGCAUCUGUCUUACAAGAUAUACUACGUAUGGUUUGAACACAGAAGAUCCCCGGUUCGAUCCCGGGCGAAAACA